CUGGGUGAAAGUGGACGCAUCACGUGAUCAGUUCUCGGGGCGGGGAAAUCCUACCACACCAACCAGGCUUAGAGAAAACAAACGUUUACCCAAUCAGCACUUUCUGUGGGCGGGGAUCUUCGUGGAUCCACCUCCUCUCCCUGUCCCUAUUUAAGUGAUUGACUCGUCUUUAUCCAAUAAUACUAAGGAUUCUCUAGCUUGACCGAUAUAUGGACGAAUCAACACGCAAAGCCUCUCUUUCGGAGGCGGGCCAGGGGAGGUGCCGCUACGCCUGACGGGGACUCCAGCGACCUAGCUCGCUCUCCGGCCAAUCGGACGCCGCGGGGUGGGUGGGAGCUUCACUGAGGUAGAGGCGAAGGCCAAUCGGAUGAGGGCUGUGUAGGCGUUGCCCAAUAGAGACGCGACAAGGGGGCGUGGUCAAGGGCCCGGGGCUCGGCGUUCCUGAGGGUGGGGCGGGGGCAAGUGUCAGUCAGGUCGGGACCGCGGCUGGGGACGGCGGAGACCCGGGCGGGCAGACUGGACGCCCCGUCCGCCGCCGCGCUUUCCGUGCAAGAUGGAGUUCCUGCUGGGGAAUCCGUUCAGCACGCCGGUGGGGCAGUGCCUCGUCACGAUAUCAUUGGAGAAUUUACAACAAACUACCGGGAACAUUCUAGAGGGCAGUCCUAAUUCAAUGUAUACGAGGUGGUGAAUCCCAAAAAGAAAGGAAAAAAGAAAAAGUAUACGAAUUCUGGAACAGUAACGUUACUCUCCUUCUUGGUAGAAACGGAAGUUUCUUUCCUUGACUACAUCAAGGGAGGGGGAUCCAACGAACUCUACUAAGAGACUAUUGGAACUCAUAGAAGAGUUUGGCAAAGUAGCUGGAUAUAAAAUCAAUGCACAAAAAUCAACAGGCUUUGUAUACACAGGCAAUGCCACGGCUGAGGAAGAACUUCUAAGAUCAAUCCCAUUCACAAUAGCUACAAAAACAAUCAAAUACCUUGGAAUAAACUUAACCGAGCACGUUAAGGAUCUCUACGAUGAAAAUUACAAAACCUUAAAGAAAGAAAUAGAAGAGGAUACCAAAAAUGGAAAAAUCUUCCAUGCUCAUGAAUUGGAAGAAUCAGUAUCAUCAAAAUGUCCAUUCUCCCAAAAGCAAUUUACAAAUUCAGUGCAAUCCCAAUCAAAAUACUGAAUACAUUCUUCUCAGAUUUGGAAAAAAUGAUGCUGAAAUUCAUAUGGCGACACAGGAGACCUCGAAUAGCUAAAGCAAUCUUGUACAACACAAACAAAGCUGGAGGCAUCACAAUACCAGAUUUCAGGACAUACUACAGGGCAGUUGUUAUCAAAACAGCAUGGUACUGGUACAGAAACAGAUGGAUAGACCAAUGGAACAGAAUCGAAACACCAGAAAUCAAUCCAAACAUCUACAGCCAACUUAUAUUUGAUCAAGGAUCUAAAACCAAUUCCUGGAGUAAGGACAGUCUAUUCAAUAAAUGGUGCUGUUUACUUGUUUCUAGAACACAAAUCAACUUCACAGUGGCUGUUGACUUUACAGCAUCAAAUGCUUUCUGCUAUGGCCUGAAAAGGCGGUAGAAGAUGGCCCAAAUCCUUGGGCCCCUGCACCCUUGUGGGAAACCUGGAGGAAGUUCCUGGCUCCUGGCUUCAGAUUGGCACAGCUUCAGCUGUUGGAACCGAUUGGGGAGUGAACCAUCAGAUGGAAGACCUCUCUCUCUCUGUCUCUACCUCUGUAACUCUGCCUGUCAAAUAAAUAAAUCUUAAAAAAAAAGAA